rnacentral:rRNA from 1 species
GCUCAGGAUGAACGCUAGCGACAGGCCUAACACAUGCAAGUCGAGGGGCAGCGAGGAUGUAGCAAUACAUUUGUCGGCGACCGGCGCACGGGUGAGUAACGCGUAUGCAACCUACCCGACACAGGGGGAUAACCCGGAGAAAUUCGGACUAAUACCGCAUAAAACAGGGGUUCCGCAUGGGAAUAUUUGUUAAAGAGUUAUCGGUGUCGGAUGGGCAUGCGUUCCAUUAGCUAGUUGGUGAGGUAACGGCUCACCAAGGCCACGAUGGAUAGGGGUUCUGAGAGGAAGGUCCCCCGCACUGGUACUGAGACACGGACCAGACUCCUACGGGAGGCAGCAGUGAGGAAUAUUGGUCAAUGGGCGAAAGCCUGAACCAGCCAAGUCGCGUGAAGGAAGACGGUCCUAAGGAUUGUAAACUUCUUUUGUCGGGGAGUAAAGGCAGUUACGUGUAGCUGUUUGCAAGUACCCGAAGAAAAAGCAUCGGCUAACUCCGUGCCAGCAGCCGCGGUAAUACGGAGGAUGCGAGCGUUGUCCGGAUUUACUGGGUGUAAAGGGCGUGUAGGCGGCCGAUUAAGUCUGGAGUGAAAGUCCUGCUUUCAAGGUGGGAAUUGCUUUGGAGACUGGUUGGCUUGAGUGCGGAAGAGGUAAGUGGAAUUCCCAGUGUAGCGGUGAAAUGCGUAGAGAUUGGGAGGAACACCAGUGGCGAAGGCGACUUACUGGGCCGUAACUGACGCUGAGGCGCGAAAGCGUGGGGAGCGAACAGGAUUAGAUACCCUGGUAGUCCACGCUGUAAACGAUGAAUGCUAGGUGUUGCGGGUAUCGACCCCUGCAGUGCCGGAGUAAACGCAAUAAGCAUUCCGCCUGGGGAGUACGGCCGCAAGGUUGAAACUCAAAGGAAUUGACGGGGGCCCGCACAAGCAGCGGAGCAUGUUGUUUAAUUCGAAGCAACGCGAAGAACCUUACCAUGUCUUGACAUCGAGGAAAAAGAGUAGAGAUACUCCUAGCCUUCGGGCAUCCGAAGACAGGUGGUGCAUGGUUGUCGUCAGCUCGUGUCGUGAGAUGUUGGGUUAAGUCCCGCAACGAGCGCAACCCUUACGGUUAGUUGCUACGCAAGAGCACUCUAGCCGGACUGCCGUUGACAAAACGGAGGAAGGUGGGGACGACGUCAAAUCAUCAUGCCCCUUAUGUCCUGGGCUACACACGUACUACAAUGGCGGUAACAGAGGGAGGCAAUACAGCGAUGUGGAGCAAAUCCCUAAAAGCCGCCCCAGUUCAGAUUGCAGGCUGAAACUCGCCUGCAUGAAGUCGGAAUUGCUAGUAAUCGCGGAUCAGCAUGCCGCGGUGAAU